AUACAUGCAGUCGAGCGGAUUGAUGGGAGCUUGCUCCCUGAAGUCAGCGGCGGACGGGUGAGUAACACGUGGGUAACCUGCCUGUAAGACUGGGAUAACUCCGGGAAACCGGGGCUAAUACCGGAUAGUUCUUUUCCUCGCAUGAGGAAAAGUGGAAAGGCGGCUUCGGCUGCCACUUACAGAUGGACCCGCGGCGCAUUAGCUAGUUGGUGAGGUAACGGCUCACCAAGGCAACGAUGCGUAGCCGACCUGAGAGGGUGAUCGGCCACACUGGGACUGAGACACGGCCCAGACUCCUACGGGAGGCAGCAGUAGGGAAUCUUCCGCAAUGGACGAAAGUCUGACGGAGCAACGCCGCGUGAGUGAUGAAGGUUUUCGGAUCGUAAAGCUCUGUUGUUAGGGAAGAACAAGUGCCGUUCGAAUAGGGCGGCACCUUGACGGUACCUAACCAGAAAGCCACGGCUAACUACGUGCCAGCAGCCGCGGUAAUACGUAGGUGGCAAGCGUUGUCCGGAAUUAUUGGGCGUAAAGCGCGCGCAGGCGGUCUCUUAAGUCUGAUGUGAAAGCCCACGGCUCAACCGUGGAGGGUCAUUGGAGACUGGGGGACUUGAGUACAGAAGAGGAAGAG
rnacentral:rRNA from 1 species